GGGCCCCUAGCUCAGCCUGGUAGAGCACCCGGUUUGCACCCGGGAGGCCGCGGGUUCAAAUCCCGCGGGGUCCACCA
rnacentral:tRNA from 1 species